rnacentral:lncRNA from 1 species
UCUUCUUAUCUUUCAAAGAUUCCUCAGAUGGGUAAACCUGACUUUGGAGGAAACACUUGAUGUCAUAAUACCACGGCUUUUCGUCUUUGACCUCUUCAACAGCAAACACAUGAGUUGGCCUAUCGAGACGCAUCACAUUCAAAUUAGGAACUUCAUUCCAAUUAUUCACUACAAUCAUGGAAGCCAACGUUGUAGGAGCAUCUGCCAUCCGAUUUUCAUCUCGAGGGAUAUGAUGAAACUUAACCUUUGAAAGAAAGUCG